rnacentral:tRNA from 1 species
UCCUCUGUGCCCGCGGUGGCUCAGAUGGAUAGAGCGUCUGCCAUCUAAGCAGGAGAUCCCGGGUUCGAGUCCCGGUCGGGGAA